GAUGAACGCUGGCGGCGUGCCUAACACAUGCAAGUCGAACGGACAGACCGUGAGCUUGCUCCUUUGUCGUGAGUGGCGGACGGGUGAGUAACGUGUGGAAAACCUCCCUAUAAGAGGGGUAUAAUCCUGGAAAUGGGGAUAAAACCCGCUAGAAGCUACUGAACCACAGGGGUGGAUAGUCAGAGUCGGUGGUGCGGGAUGUGCUCGGGCGGUAUUCGCUUGUUGGUGUGGUAGUGGCUUAACCAGGCUACGAAGGGUACCCGGCCUGAGCGGCUGAUCAGCCACACUGGAACUGAGACACGGUCCAGGGUCCUACGGGAGGCAGCAGUAGGGAAUGGUCCGCAAUGGGCGCAAGCAUUACGCAGCGACGCGGCGUGAGUGAUGAAGGCCUUGGGUUCGGAAAGCUCUGUUAUGGGGGAAGAACGCCUUUCGCAUAAGAUGAGCCGUGAUUGACGGUAACUGGUAAAGAAGCACCGGCUAACUACGUG
rnacentral:rRNA from 1 species